CACCGCGGUUAUACGAGAGGCCCAAGCUGAUAGCCACCGGCGUAAAGCGUGGUUAAGAUUUUUUGUAACUAAAGCCGAACACCUUCAAAGCUGUUAUACGCACCCGAAGGUCARAAGACCAAUCACGAAAGUGGCUUUACAACCCUGAACCCACGAAAGCUACGACA
rnacentral:rRNA from 1 species